rnacentral:rRNA from 1 species
UACGUAGGUGGCAAGCGUUGUCCGGAUUUACUGGGCGUAAAGAGCGCGCAGGCGGUCGUUCAAGUCGCGUGUGAAAGCCCCCGGCUCAACUGGGGAGGGUCACGCGAUACUGAUCGACUGGAAGGCAGGAGAGGGUAGUGGAAUUCCCGGUGUAGUGGUGAAAUGCGUAGAUAUCGGGAGGAACACCAGUGGCGAAGGCGGCGUCCUGGACCAACACUGACACUGAGGAGCGAAAGCCAGGGGAGCAAACGGG